AUGAAGGCCGCCAAAGAAGAGGAGAGAAAGGAUGCGGGGUUUGCCUUGGGAAGCAGGAUGACUGGCUUCCAACAUCUGCCACCAAGUGCUGGCCCGUUUUCCCCUCGGGGCUUUCCUGGGGACACAGCAUCUGCAGCUCUCUGCUGUCCUCUAGCGGACGCUGACUGCGCCAUCCUGAGGGGACCCCUGGCGUGCCCGGAGAGGCCAUGUCAUCCUUCAGAUUCCAAAGGCCAUUUGCCACGUGUGAUUACCUUGAACCCCAAUACAUUUCUGCAAACGUCCUUAUUCCACGGUCGAAGCCAAACUUUAUCACCCGCACCCCCAGCGUGGGGACAAGCUGGCCGUUUCCUCGAACCUGUGUCCUCCUCUCCGGGCCACAGUCUGGUGUGCAAACCGAGGAACAGCAGAGGCCGCGUCUGCUUGGCUCACAGCUCUGUCUCGGGGCCCAUUAGGGGCCGGGCGCAGCGCUGAGGCCCAGUGUCUGUGCGGAACGGGGUGCGCACCCCAGGCAACCGUGUGGCCUCGCUGCUCCCUGCGCCUCCUUCCUCCUAUUGAGAGCCCCCCGCAGAGGGUCGGGGCAUCCACUGGGGCAUCACGGGGAGGGGGGGGGCGCGGGAUCUGCGCUGAUGAGCGCCAACGGACUCUGGGAAGAGGCAUAUUUAAAGGGAAGGAUGGGGGAUCCCUGGGUGGCGCAGCAGUUUAGCGCCUGCCUUUGGCCCAGGGCGCGAUCCUGGAGACCCGGGAUCGAGUCCCACGUCGGGCUCCCGGUGCAUGGAGCCUGCUUCUCCCUCUGCCUGUGUCUCUGCCUCUCUCUCUCUCUGUGUGUGUGGCUACCAUAAAUAAAUAAAAAUUAAAAAAAAUAAAUAAAGGGAAGGAUGAAGAUAGAGGGAGGGCAGAGCUGCUGGUGGGAGGGGCGGGGGGUUGGAACAGGUCUGGACACCUACCCGAUGUGGCUGGAGGGAGGUCGGGAGAGGCAGCAGGAGUCCUGGAUUCAGGACUUGGUCCCCGCCGCACACCUGUGCCUGGGGACGAUGCGGCCCAGGCUCCCCGCCGACGCCGAACAGGCUCCCGGCCCCCCGGCUCCGGCUCCCCGCCCCGCCCGCAAAGACGCGCGCCACCUGCGCCAGGUCCGCGC
rnacentral:lncRNA from 1 species